AUAGAUGAGUGAAAAUAGUGAGUUGUGAUAUUCCUUGGUUUAGAGUUUGACAACAUAUGUUGUAGUAUUGUAUGUAUUCUUAGGGUUAGAUUUUGAAAAACUUAAAUGUUUUUUUUGAAAAUUUAAAAUUUUACCUAUACGUGUUUAGUUAUGUGUAUAUUAAACAUUUUUUUAGUAUAAUCUUAUUCUAAAGUGUUUUUUUUAACGUCUGAUUAAUUAUGCUAUUACAACGAUGAGAAAUAUCACAUAAACGAUUUUACGGCCGACAAUUCUACUAUCAUAUGAAAAUGUACGUCUGACUGCAUCAUUCUGAGCCGUCCUAUGAGAUCUAUGUUCGAUGAUACAUACUUGCACCAUGCUAAAGAAACCAUUUUUUCUCCAUAAUCGGCAUAAUUUGUGUUUUCUGGAGUUUGAAUCCCAGACCUCCCGGUGUAAAAGCAUUAAUGAAUCCUUAGUCAAACCAUUGGACUAAGGGGGUUUCCACUAUUCUAAAGUGAUUAGUUACUUAAUUUAGUUUAGAGUUAUAUUUAGGAUAUUUUGACAAAGGUGAACCCACCGCGGAGCUUCUCUUCCUCUGAAGCGGAGACGGAGAAGACAGAGGAGGAGGUCGACGGUGAAGAUAUAGGAGCGACGGUGGUUUGUUAGUGCGACAUUCACCACCACCACCAAGUUAAAUCUCCUGGGAAAAUGUGAAGACAAAACUUUUCUCUAGGAAUGUUUUCAAACCAUGGGUAUAAGACAUGGCGGUCAUGAGCAGAGAAGGCGCAUCCCCUACGCUUUCCCUGUGAGAUACAUGCCAAGGCCAAGAAGGAAAUGAGAGAUCAAGGUUUUGAUUUAGUUCCCAUGUUUUCUAUAGUCUUUUUUAUAUUUAGUUUUGAUGUUAUAAUGAUGUUUGUGUAAGAUUGAUGAAAAUGUAUACAUGUUUGUGGUACUAAUAUAAGUACAUUUUGGUUUAUAAAUGAAUAUAAAUUGAAUAUUUUUUAUGUAAA